GUAUUUCUCCAUGCCUGCUUAAGACGGUGUAUUUUCUCCGACGACAGAUUAUUAUAAUAAGUGUCGAUAAAGUUCACAAGCUGAUGAUAAGUGAGAAGGCAUGCUCAGCUGCUCAGCUGUAGUUAUAAGAUCAUUCUGCUCAAUUAAAUUAAAAAUUAGUUCAAUAUUCUAUCCUGAUUCAGUCAUUUGUUUAUUCACUACUAUAUCUUUUUGUUUAUAUUUUAAGUAUGCAUAUCUUUCAAUAUCUAAGAUAUACAAUUACCAUAUAUAUGUAAAUUUAAAAGCGGGAAAAGAGGAUGGAGAAAAACUAUAUGAUUUCACAACUCACCGACACUCCAGCUGCAAAGGCAUAAUAAGCAGCAUAUAAACAAAAAUUGAAAAGGUAUAAAUGUAGAGAAAUAAACAUAAAAUGCAUGGUUAUUUUUGAUGUAUACACUUUAAUUUUAAAUUUUUUUGUGUGAAUUUAUUUUGUUGUAAACUUUGAGGAAGUUUUGUAACUUUAUAAUAGAAACUAUAUUUCAAUUACCUGGCAAUAAAUGCCAAAUGUGAGC
rnacentral:sRNA from 1 species